GCGGUUAUGGCGGAAUUGGCAGACGCGACGGGUUUAGGUCCCGUUUCCAGCGAUGGAGUGCAGGUUCAAGUCCUGUUAACCGCA
rnacentral:tRNA from 1 species